rnacentral:rRNA from 1 species
UGGCCGAAAAUCUAAGGUUUCCUGAGGAAGGUUCGUCCGCUCAGGGUAAGCCGGGGGCUAAGGCGAGGCGGAGACGCGUAGCCGAUGCACAUACGGUUGAAAUUCCGUAGCCACCGAAAGAUUUAAGUACAGGGACGCUUUAGAAGUGAUGUAGCCGGGCGAUGGUUGACCCGGUCGUAAGGGAUCGAAAAUGAGUAGAGAAGUCAUCAUGGAAAGAGACAAGAAAAGCUGUAUGAAUAUCUUAGGUGCCCGUACCGCAAACCGACACAGGUAGAUAGGAAGAAGAUUCUAAGGCCAACGGGAGAAGGGUUGUUAAGGAACUCGGCAAGUUGACCCCGUAACUUAGGGAUAAGGGGUGCUCAAGUGAUUGAGCCGCAGAGAAUAGGCCCAGGCGACUGUUUAGCAAAAACACAGGUCUCUGCUAAAUCGAAAGAUGACGUAUAGGGGCUGACACCUGCCCGGUGCCGGAAGGUUAAGAGGAGAUGUGAGAGCAUUGAAUUGAAGCCCCGGUAAACGGCGGCCGUAACUAUAACGGUCCUAAGGUAGCGAAAUUCCUUGUCAGGUAAGUUCUGACCCGCAUGAAAGGCGUAAUGAUUUGGGCACUGUCUCAACAGCCCGCCCGGCGAAAUUGUAGUACCGGUGAAGAUGCCGGUUACCCGCGACUAGACGGAAAGACCCCAUGGAGCUUUACUGUAGCCUAAUAUUGGAUUUCGGUAUUUCACGUACAGGAUAGGUGGGAGACUGGGAAGCACAGGCGUCAGCUUGUGUGGAGUCGACCUUGGGAUACCACUCUUGGAGUGCUGGAAUUCUAACCUGCGGCUUUGAAGCAAGUCGAGGGACAUUGUUAGGUGGGCAGUUUGACUGGGGCGGUCGCCUCCUAAAGAGUAACGGAGGCGCUCAAAGGUUCGCUCUGCAUGGAUGGAAACCAUGCGUCAGAGUGUAAACGCAAAAGCGAGCCUAACUGCGAGAAUGACGGUUCGAGCAGUAACGAAAGUUGGAGUUAGUGAUCCGGCGGUAUGUGAAUGGAAAUGCCGUCGCUCAACGGAUAAAAGCUACCCUGGGGAUAACAGGCUGAUCUCCCCCAAGAGUCCACAUCGACGGGGAGGUUUGGCACCUCGAUGUCGGCUCAUCGCAUCCUGGGGCUGUAUUCGGUCCCAAGGGUUUGGCUGUUCGCCAAUUAAAGCGGUACGCGAGCUGGGUUCAGAACGUCGUGAGACAGUUCGGUCCCUAUCUGUCGUGGGCGUAGGAUAUUUGCAAGGAGCUGUCCCUAGUACGAGAGGACCGGGAUGGACGCACCUCUGGUGCACCAGUUGUCACGCCAGUGGCACAGCUGGGCAGCUAUGUGCGGAACGGAUAAACGCUGAAGGCAUCUAAGCGUGAAGCCGCCCUUAAGAUAAGAUAUCCCUUCUGUUUACAGAGUAAGACCCCUUGAAGACUACAAGGUUGAUAGGCUCAAAGUGUAAGCACGGUGACGUGUUUAGCUAGCGAGUACUAAUCGGUCGAGGGCUUAACCUU